ACGUGACAGUUUGGCAGCUGCUCCUACCCCUCCACCCCGCCCAACCUUCAGCUUCUGAGGCUGCGCAGGGGGAGAAAAGGGUUAGGGGGUCGAGCCCUGACUUCGCCUCCUCUUCCAAGAAGCCUUCCCAGACACUCAGCUGUAAAACCAGACGGACGUCCUCCGAUGAAAUUGUUUCUACUUAGGGCCGGCUUCACCGGCUUGGAAUCCACUUAGAAGGGUCUUCGCGCUUGGUUGAAUGUUCUGCAAUUUCUGUCUUGAAAUUUUUAGUUUUUGAGCAAGGGGCCCCUUAUUUUCACUUUGCACUAGGCCAAAUAUGUAGCCGGUCUUGCUGCUAAGAGUCUAAGAUCGAUUGCAUUCCAAAUUCUGGAAUUAUAAGACCCUGGGUGGAAGAUUCUAUGCUUUGACCAGAAGAGAGUCUAAGCAGCUUUUGUCUCCCAGGUGCUAGGAGGAUGUGUGCUCAUCAUUCUUCCAUUCCAGGGGCCUUUGUUCUACGUUCUAAGGGGCUUUGUUCUCAGCCUUCUAUGAUGCUCUAUUCUCAACGUUCUCUGGUCCUAGGAGUCUGAGCCUGACAUUCGUUUCCAAGGCUUCCUGCUGUCUCUCCAGGCUCCGCAAGCAGGGCUGGGGCACCCUCAGGCGGCCAAUCUGUAUCACUACGCCGAGCCUGCCUCUACCAACUUCCAAGACCUAGCUCUAAUAUUCAUACUCAUCUCUCAGACAGACCUUGGCUCCCUAAAAGCCAAGGCCCAGAAGAUCAUACAAGAAAUUCCCUCUUUUAUGAUUCCCCGUGCACGAAGUGACCUUCUGGUGGUGAGAUGGAGAGAAAUUGAUAGUGGCGAUAGACAGCAAAGUCUCCAGGAGCCAGACUUCCUCGGGAAACUUGGGGCACGUGUGGAGUGUGAGUGAGUGAGCUGCUGGAAUGAACUGACCAGACAGGACAUCAUCUAUGUAUGGGAUUAGAAUGGAAUUACAGGAGAAAACCAAAUCCCUCAAAUUAGCAUUCAGGAUCGGAAAAAAAAGGCCCAUGCUCUUAGACCACCACCAAGACCUUGUCUUGUCCUGCACCGAGCAACCUCCGUGUCACCCUGCUCCACCUGCUCCAUGAAGCCGCACCCUCCAGAGAGGACCCUUCCCCUUUCCACCCUUCGCGGACCACUCAAUGAGCUACCCUGCACCUGACCCCUUCUGUCCAAGUCAUCACAGUAUUCCCAGAGCUGGAACAGUCAAUGCCUGGCACAUCGUGGGCACUCAACAUGUUGAAUCAAUGGUUACAAAUACAUGAAUGUACUUGUUGAAUAAAUGGUUAUAAAUAAAUGAAUGAAUGAUCCCCCCCCUUCCCAUACUCCAUCUGUCUUCCUGAGCUCCCUGGCUCCAACACAGGUCCCUUGUUCUCCUGGCUUCUGACACACCCCAGUAUCUUAGCCCUGCCUCUGGCCCUCUAAACAUGCCAUCCCACACCCAGCCUCAAAGCUCCAGGCCUUAGGACUUAACUUUUCCAAGCAGGGAAAGUUACAGACCCAUUCCCAAGUAGGUUCAAGUCACCAGGCCCGGUGCCACUUCAUCAGGCCCAGCCACAACACCAAAGCCCCAGAAUGCAGAGUGCAAUGUCUGCCUCAGUCCUGGCUCCCUUCUCCUCCCCACUCCCAUCCACUCCCAGCUUCCAGGACUCAGGGUCAGCCCUGUUCCUGGACCUCUUCGGAAACCCUCCACGGCCACGUCCCUAGACUGGCUCCCUUGGUCACUGAACCGACCCCAGGCUUCAGGCCCAUCUUCACCCAAGUCACGGCCCCAGUACACAGCAAAGUAGCCAUGCCCUUGUUUCUCAACCCUACCCACCGGUGCCUCCUUUUUGCAAGGCUGACCCUUUUGGGGUCGUAAACCCAAAGGCUCCAGGUCCCAGCCAAUGCCUUGGGAGGCUCAGCCCCUUCUCCUGGUCACCGCAGCCCUUUGGUACCCUCAAGUCCAGUCCCUUUCCUGGUCCCACCCUAGACAAGCCAAGUCUCACUCAGCCCCCCUAAGGUUCCAAGUGUCCUCAGCGCUUCUGGGGCACUUGGUUUCCAGCCCAAGUAACCUAGUCUAGGCCUGAGUCCCAGCCCAUCUUUUACAGGACGGCUCCUCCUGUAGCCACAUCCCUCCAGUAGGCCCGCCCCAGCACUGGGCUCCACCCCCAAGGUGCCAGGCUGUUUCCGGGUCCACCCCCCUCUCAUGGCUCCGCCCACUUCUCCAGCCCCACCCCACAACCCACCCGCCCAUGGGGUAGGCGGGCCCCAGGCACCUCCAGCUGAGAUGUGGCUCCAGGGGCUGGCCGGGUACAUGAAGGCGGCGUUCUGGAUCUGGUCAUUGAUGUCCUCAUCCUCGUUGAAAGGGAAGGUGCCGCUGAGGCUGACGUACAUGAUCACGCCCACUGACCACAUGUCCAGCGAGCGGUUGUAGCCCUGGUUGAGCAGCACCUCGGGUGCCAGGUAGGCCGGCGUGCCCACCACUGAGCGGCGGAACGACUUCUCGCCGAUGAUGCGAGCAAAGCCAAAGUCACACAGCUUCACCUGCAGAGGGCAAGGGAUGGAGGCUCCACCAGGUGAUGGAGCCGCACCCACCCCAGCAUCCCCACCACACCACCCUCCAUGGUAUUCCAGAGAAAGCUGGAUGCUGGUUUGAAUCCAGGCUCCUUGGCUCACUAGCUGAGCAACCCUGGGCAGGUGACUUCCCCCCUCUGUGCCUCAGUUUCCCCAUCUAUAGGAAGAAGAGCAGAAGAGCACCUAUCUCAGAGGACUGCCAUGAUGGUUAGUGAAUUAAACCAUCCAAAGCCCACAGGACAAUAUUUGGCAUUCAGUUGGUGCACAAUAAAUGCUAGCUGCUGCUAUACCUCUGCCA
rnacentral:lncRNA from 1 species